rnacentral:rRNA from 1 species
GAUGAACGCUAGCUACAGGCUUAACACAUGCAAGUCGAGGGGAAACGACAUCGAAAGCUUGCUUUUGGUGGGCGUCGACCGGCGCACGGGUGAGUAACGCGUAUCCAACCUGCCCACCACUUGGGGAUAACCUUGCGAAAGUAAGACUAAUACCCAAUGAUAUCCCACGAAGGCAUCCGAAUGGGAUUAAAGAUUUAUCGGUGAUGGAUGGGGAUGCGUCUGAUUAGCUUGUUGGCGGGGUAACGGCCCACCAAGGCUACGAUCAGUAGGGGUUCUGAGAGGAAGGUCCCCCCACAUUGGAACUGAGACACGGUCCAAACUCCUACGGGAGGCAGCAGUGAGGAAUAUUGGUCAAUGGGGCGAGAGCCUGAACCAGCCAAGUAGCGUGCAGGAUGACGGCCCUAUGGGUUGUAAACUGCUUUUAUAAGGGAAUAAAGUGGGUCUCGUGAGACUUUUUGCAUGUACCUUAUGAAUAAGGACCGGCUAAUUCCGUG